rnacentral:rRNA from 1 species
GACGAACGCUGGCGGCGGGCUUAACACAUGCAAGUCGAACGGAAAGGCCCUGCUUGUUUGGGGUGCUCGAGUGGCGAACGGGUGAGUAACACGUGAGUAACCUGCCCUUGACUUUGGGAUAACUUCAGGAAACUGGGGCUAAUACCGGAUAGGAGCUCCUGCUGCAUGGUGGGGGUGGGAAAGUUGCGGCGGGUGGGGAUGGAUGCGCGGCUUAUCGGCUUGUUGGUGGGGUAGUGGCUUACCAAGGCUUUGACGGGUAGCCGGCCUGUGAGGGUGACCGGCCACAUUGGGCCUGAGGUACGGCCCAGACUCGAACGGGAGGCAACGGUGGGGAGUCUUGCACAGUGGGCGGACGCCUGAUGCAGCAACGCCGCGUGCGGGAAGACGGCCUUCGGGUUGUGAACCGCAUUCGCCUGUGACGAAGCGUGAGUGACGGUAAUGGGUGAAGAAGCACCGGCUAACUACGUG